rnacentral:rRNA from 1 species
UAGGGAAUCUUCGGCAAUGGGGGCAACCCUGACCGAGCAACGCCGCGUGAGUGAAGAAGGUUUUCGGAUCGUAAAGCUCUGUUGUAAGAGAAGAACGUGUGUGAGAGUGGAAAGUUCACACAGUGACGGUAACUUACCAGAAAGGGACGGCUAACUACGUGCCAGCAGCCGCGGUAAUACGUAGGUCCCGAGCGUUGUCCGGAUUUAUUGGGCGUAAAGCGAGCGCAGGCGGUUUAAUAAGUCUGAAGUUAAAGGCAGUGGCUUAACCAUUGUUCGCUUUGGAAACUGUUAAACUUGAGUGCAGAAGGGGAGAGUGGAAUUCCAUGUGUAGCGGUGAAAUGCGUAGAUAUAUGGAGGAUCACCGGUGGCGAAAGCGGCUCUCUGGUCUGUAACUGACGCUGAGGCUCGAAAGCGUGGGGAGCAAACAGG